AUUUGUUACUGGCUUCAUCGGUGUGCAGUGUCCUUUCAACAAGCUGCUACUGUAUACUCUGCUGUUCGCUUUGCAGAAAGAGAAAAAAGACAGUCAGAAGAGCUCAGGAGGCAGUGAUGAAUCCAGCAUAUCAAGCAGGAGAUGCAGAGCUGGAAGAAACAUUACACAGUGUGUGAUGCUCAAGUGACCACUUUCAU